AAAGCGCAGGUCCCCGCCUCGGCAGCCACGGGACACCUGCAUCUGCCAACAAGACUGGAAGCAGAAAGGGACAGAGACGGCGAAGUUUGACGGUCUGGAAAGCAGAGACCAGCAGGGCUGACUGCUUGGGAGCACCAAAUAUCCGGACAGCGCCUCUCGGGAGGUCCGAGAAGAGAACCGCGAUCUGUUUCAGCACCGGGGCUCAGGACAGUUCCCAGCGGGCUCCGUUUCGUCUCCAGAACCCUGGACAGCUCCUCCAGACUUCGGUGAGAAACCUUGUGCCAAGCAUUUUACAUACAUCAUAUCAUGCCAUCUUCAACCCUAGGACAUGGGUGUUACUGUGCCCAUGUGACAUUUGGGGAACCCAAGGCCCUGAGAAAGGCAGAAAAAUAACCCACGCAGGGACUCUCAGCCCACAAGUGAAGCUGAGAACCGGGAAUGGAAAACAGGGAGGCAGCACAGAGGCAGGAAACUCAGGUGUCAUAGCUUGGCUCAGCUUGGAAUGCACUCCCUCCACCUCCAACCAGAGCUCCCCACAACUGACCCUGCCUUCUUCUGCAAGCUCCAUUUCAUCAAGGGAAACGAUCCUUAUUGCCUCACCAUUUCCCACGUGAAGUCUGUAUUGACAUUCUCAUAGACCUGGGAUAUUGUGUCUGCAGCACAUAGUCCAAUUAUUUUCAUGUUAUCUACUGACAGGUCUAUUUGUCUCCCUGUUACACUGUGAGCUCCGUGAGGGCAGAAACAAUGUUAGUAUUUUCACUGCUGUGUCCCCAGCGCCUGGUCCGGGGCCCGGCACACAGCAGGCAUAUAAUAAGCAUGUGUUGAAUCAAUAAAGGCAUCAAAGA
rnacentral:lncRNA from 1 species